GUACACGCUGUGACUAGCAUAUCAAUAAGCGGAGGAAAAGCGCAUUAAAGAUCCAGAUACCUACGCUUAGGAUGUUGACGAGACUGUCGAUCUCAUCUAUACAUGACUCUGUGCAUAUCAAUAAGCGGAGGAAAAGAAACUAACAAGGAUUCCCCUAGUAACGGCGAGUGAAGCGGGAAGAGCUCAAAUUUGAAAUCUUAAAGGGUUUCCCUUUACGAAUUGUAGUUUAAAGAAGUGUUUUCUGUUGAGGUUUUGGUAAAUGUUCUUUGGAAUAGGACAUCAUAGAGGGUGAGAAUCCCGUAUUUGACCUUUACUUUCAACUUUGUGAUACACUUUCAAAGAGUCGGACUGUUUGGGAAUGCAGUCCAAAAUGGGUGGUAAAUUUCAUCUAAAGCUAAAUAUUGGCGAGAGACCGAUAGCGAACAAGUACCGUGAGGGAAAGAUGAAAAGAACUUUGAAAAGAGAGUUAAACAGUACGUGAAAUUGUCAAAAGGGAAGCGUUUGACACCAGUGUUGUUUUUCUGAAAAUCAAUUAAAGAACUGUUUAUGCUAAGUUGUUUAGACUUUAUCAGCUAACUGUUUAGUUUUGAGCUUUUCUUUAAUGCACUUUUCAGUUAACAAGUCAACAUCAAUUUCUUUUGCUGUAAAAAAGCUUGAGGAAGGUGGCUUGAGAUUCGUCUUAAGUGUUUAUAGCCUCUUGCCUAUGCAGUCGGAGAGAUUGAGGUCUGCAGCGUAGAUCCUUCGGGGCUAAAUGCAUUUGUGCUAAGUUAUAACAUUUUAUAGACAACUUGUUGACUAUGAUUUGUCUUGUAGCUUACUCGCUUAUGUUAUUUUACCUACGCUUAGGAUGUUGACGAGACUGUCGAUCUC
rnacentral:rRNA from 1 species